rnacentral:tRNA from 1 species
UCUCUGGUAGCUCAGACAGUAAAGCAUCUGCCUACAAUGCAGGAGACCCAGGUUCGAUCCCUGGGUUGGGAA